rnacentral:rRNA from 1 species
UACGUAGGUGGCAAGCGUUGUCCGGAUUUACUGGGCGUAAAGAGCGCGCAGGCGGUCGUUCAAGUCGCGUGUGAAAGCCCCCCGGCUCAACUGGGGAGGGUCACGCGAUACUGAUCGACUCGAAAGCAGGAGAGGGAAGUGGAAUUCCCGGUGUAGUGGUGAAAUGCGUAGAUAUCGGGAGGAACACCAGUGGCGAAGGCGACUUCCUGGCCUGUUCUUGACGCUGAGGCGCGAAAGCUAGGGGAGCAAACGGG